rnacentral:rRNA from 1 species
GAUGAACGCUGGCGGCGUGCCUAAUACAUGCAAGUCGAGCGAACGGACGAGAAGCUUGCUUCUCUGAUGUUAGCGGCGGACGGGUGAGUAACACGUGGAUAACCUACCUAUAAGACUGGGAUAACUUCGGGAAACCGGAGCUAAUACCGGAUGAUAUUUUGAACCGCAUGGUUCAAAAGUGAAAGACGGUCUUGCUGUCACUUAUAGAUGGAUCCGCGCUGCAUUAGCUAGUUGGUAAGGUAACGGCUUACCAAGGCAACGAUGCGUAGCCGACCUGAGAGGGUGAUCGGCCACACUGGAACUGAGACACGGUCCAGACUCCUACGGGAGGCAGCAGUAGGGAAUCUUCCGCAAUGGGCGAAAGCCUGACGGAGCAACGCCGCGUGAGUGAUGAAGGUCUUCGGAUCGUAAAACUCUGUUAUUAGGGAAGAACAUAUGUGUAAGCAACUGUGCACAUCUUGACGGUACCUAAUCAGAAAGCCACGGCUAACUACGUG